AUUUUGAGAUAUCUGAAAUGUAUACCUAGAAAAUGACUUCUUUUUUGAAGGCAUGGCCAUCUCCAGAUAAAAGCUUUUACAGAAGCAGAUAGGGUUGGAUCUCUUAAUGAUAGGUCUACAUCAUGUUAUUACACCUUUGUUAGCGGCAACCUAGCUACUUAGAGAAGCAAUAAACAAAAUGUGACAGCUAGAUCAAGUGCAGAAGCAGUAUAAAGGGCUAUGGCACAAGACAUCUAUGAGCUAUUAUCGUUGCAGAAGUUGAUAGAGGAGUUGAGGAUGUUAGAGACCAAUAGUUUAUCUUUGUUUUGUAACAACAAAGCUG
rnacentral:misc_RNA from 1 species